rnacentral:rRNA from 1 species
GUCCAUGCUGUAAACGAUGGGUGCUAGGUGUCGCGGGCAUUGACCCCUGCGGUGCCGUAGCAAACGCAUUAAGCACCCCGCCUGGGGAGUACGGCCGCAAGGCUAAAACUCAAAGGAAUUGACGGGGGCCCGCACAAGCGGUGGAGCAUGUGGUUUAAUUCGAUGCAACGCGAAGAACCUUACCUGGGCUAGAAAACGUGAGAAACUGGUAGAAACAUCGGCGUGCCCUUCGGGGAACUCACGGUUAGGUGCUGCAUGGCUGUCGU